rnacentral:rRNA from 1 species
AGUAACGCGUGGGUAACCUGCCUUGUACUGGGGGAUAGCAGCUGGAAACGGCUGGUAAUACCGCAUAAGCGCACAAUGUUGCAUGACAUGGUGUGAAAAACUCCGGUGGUAUAAGAUGGACCCGCGUCUGAUUAGCUAGUUGGUGAGAUAACAGCCCACCAAGGCGACGAUCAGUAGCCGACCUGAGAGGGUGACCGGCCACAUUGGGACUGGGACACGGCCCAG